rnacentral:lncRNA from 1 species
GCGGUAGCCCGGUAGGGGUGAACAAUCGAGCCUGCAGCAGUGACGCAUUUUGUUCGCUCGGCGGCAGGGCGGACAUUUUGUUAAGCCCAAUGGCUUGAUCAGUACCAAGCAUGAAUUCGAGCUUUCCUAAAUUGUAGAACCCUUUCAGACCGGAAAAAUAGCACCGUGCUGAUUUAAAAUGAUGUAUUCAAAUAUAUCAAAAAUCGACUAUUGUCGACAUGUCGACGUUUAUCGUUCUGGUCCGAAAGCUUUAUGUGGUCGUUACUUUUACACAUAAUGGCAUGGAGUACCUAGUCAGCAUGAAGCCUGGGAAAAAGAAAAAUUAUAAAGAAAUCGCGAUGAUUCAAUUUCGUUCAAAGAAGACUUUUGAAUAGUCGCAGUCCUGUUGUGGAAUUGCCCCUUCCUGCUAAAGAUACAGGGUCUAGUGUUGUAGUAACACCAGUGUCAACGUUAAAUGCCAGAUAGCGAAAACUGCCCGACAUCUGAUUCCCAAAGUGGGAAUGACUUCCCGACAAGGAGGAAGAACAAAACACAUAGCCGACACCGAUAGUCUGGAUACUGGAUAGUUGUCAGAGCGUUUGUAAGUCAGUGGAUGUUCUCACAGAGCUGAAGGAGAUAAAACCUUUUGUUACGUUUAUUAUGAGAAAAGUAGAAGCGAUCGAAUUAUCAAUAAUAAAUGUUGCUUCGGAACCGAAACCAACAACAUUGUAGUUGCCUAAAUUACCUCUGACUCAAAUAAGCGAACUCGUGAACAUGGAGGCGAUGCUAGGCGAGGAAAACGUUCGAUCGCAAUUGUUUGAUAUGCUAAGGCAUACACGAAGAAUCAAAGAACGGGACUGUAUCAACCGCUGUCUGGAAAAAAUCUCGGAUUACUUGGGGCAGUAAUUGCUCUUGGACGGGGAAAAAAACAAUUUCAGAUUGUCUUCCCCAAAGCUGAUGAAUGUUAUAAAACUUUGAUAUGCUAAGGCAUACAGGAGGAAGCGAAGGAACGGGACUGCGUCAACCGCUGUCUGGAAAAAAAUCUUGGACGGGAAAAAAAGCAAUUUCAAAUUGUCUUCCUCAAUGCUGAUGAUGUUAUAAAACGUGCUGUAAGGCAGACAUUUCCAAACGUUACAGAUGAUAUGGUUUCAACAUGGUGGGACCCGAAUUAAGCGACAAUAAUUAGUAACAAGAAACAAUUAUUUUUAAAUGCAGGUGAUGGAUGAUGACAAAACCUUAAACUAGUAGAAUUUUAUUAAAUACAAGACAUACGUUUAAGUUUCCAAACACUAAAUCGGAGUAACCAGCGUGGUUCAAAUUUGUAGCGUAGUUGAGCAAUUUUAGUUUUUAAGUUUUGCUUCCCGUGUUUCUUAUUAUUGUGAUAUAGUCCGAGUUCUUAACCAAAUGUACAGUCCGGUCUGGCAGAAAGCAUGAAACUUGGCAUGUAUAUAGCUUAUAGGUUUAUAAGAAAAUAUGGAAGUAGAAACACGCCGAGGUGUCAAUGUUUCCCCUCUUUCCCCCCACUUUUGUA